AUCUUUGUUGUGGGCGAAACGAGGUGACCGCAGAGUCUGUCACCCAGGUUGGAGUGCGGUGGUGUGAUCUUGGCUCCCUGCAACCUCCACCUCCCAGGUUCAAGCGAUUCUCCUGCCUCAGCCUCCCAAGUAGCUGCGAUUACAGGCACCCACCACCAUGAAGAAUGGCAUUUUUAAAAGAUGGCUUUCUUAAAAAAGGAUACUCAGUUGCUCUUCUACUCAUACCAAGUCCUGCAGACACAUUCUGGGACUGCACCUUAUGAGUGCUGCUCACUCUGUUUCCUGCAGAAGACAUACAGAGCCGUUCGCAUAGAGUAGGGCCAUGAUUUUGAUUCAGCAAUUCUUCAAACCACUGAUGCUGGUUGACCAUUUGACUUUGUUUUUGAAGUAUUUUUUACAUACAGUGUACAGAACAUUUCCGCUGGAUAUUUGGAUACUGAACAGGAGUAACAAGAGGAACAGCUCCUACCUCCCCCCUGCCCCUUCCCUCACAAGCCUGUGAGUCAGGGCAGGGGCAGCCACUGAAAGUAGCAGAGGCCUUCAUAAAGGAGAACACUUCUCCAUGUUGCCAUCAUGUGAAGAAGGACAUGUUUGCUUCUGCUUCUGCCACGAGUGUUGAAGGCAAUGGUGAUGAAAGUAAAUAUUUAAAAACACUACCAUAGCUGUCCCAAAUUUCAGAAAAACAAGGUACCACUGGAACCAUUUAAUUUUGUUGGAACACAGAAUGACCAUCUUGUGAUCAGUUUUCUGCAUCUUUAAAAUACCUGGAAGGUCAUCUUUAAAUAGUACAAUCUGAUAAAAGUUUAAUACUUAGUGUAGACUUAUAUGAAUACUUCUACAUUCAUACAUUUUUGUAUACUUAUACAUUUUCAUACUCAAUUAAUGCUUAAUUCAAAAAAUAUCUGAGUACCUGCAGUGUUCCCCAUGCUACAUACUGGGCUUAAACAGCCAAAAAGACACAGUCUUUGACCUCAAAAUACUUUGAUUCUUGUAAGAAAAACUGACAAAGACAAAGAGAAGGCAAUGUGAAAACUUCUACAGUUGGGAUAACCUUGGAGGUUACAGGAUGUGGACUCACUGAAAGCUUUCUGCUGGACUUGAACUUGAAGCUGAAGUCUGAAGGACAGAUGGGUGUUGCUUAGCGAAGGGAAAGUAGGAAGCAAAGACCCCUGGACAGAGUGUAGCAGGCACAGAGGGAGCAUGACACCUUCGGGAGAGAGCCGCAAGCACCUGGGCCCAGAUCCCAGCUUUAGCUUCAUUAGCCCUGUGAACUCUGUAUGUCAGCCUUGACAUAGAAAAAAAGAGGAUACUAAACCUCCAUCUUAAAAGAGACUUGGAAGAAGCUGGGAUUAUAGGCACACCACCACACCUGGCCCCAGAAAAGGGAAUCCUUGACCUGCAAGAAUCGAGGAAUAUUGUUUCUGACAUGCUCAGUGGACCUACUGCUGGUGUUCUUAACCAUUUCCUUCCUAAGUGGAACUUCUUUUGAGGUUAAUGUUUAUAUACAAUUACUUUAACAUUGGAUUUGGGAAAUGGAACAACAUACUGCGGAUCUUUCUGCUACCGAUGAAAGAAGAAGGUUGAGUUUUACCUUCUAGAGCUUUACAGUGUAAACAAGCAGUAUUAGGGUUUGUUUUUACCUUCUCCC
rnacentral:lncRNA from 1 species